UACGUAGGGUGCAAGCGUUGUCCGGAAUUAUUGGGCGUAAAGAGCUCGUAGGCGGCCACUCAAGUCGAAUGUGAAACCUCGAGGCUUAACCUCGAGCCUGCAUUCGAUACUGGGCGGCUAGAGUCUGGUAGGGGGAUCUGGAAUUCCUGGUGUAGCGGUGGAAUGCGCAGAUAUCAGGAGGAACGACCGGUGGCGAAGGCGGGAUCCUGGGCCAGUACUGACGCUGAGGAGCGAAAGCGUGGGGAGCAAACAGGGAUUAAGAA
rnacentral:rRNA from 1 species